rnacentral:rRNA from 1 species
AUUGAACGCUGGCGGCAGGCCUAACACAUGCAAGUCGAACGAGUGGCGGACGGGUGAGUAAUGUCUGGGAAACUGCCCGAUGGAGGGGGAUAACUACUGGAAACGGUAGCUAAUACCGCAUACCAUCGGAUGUGCCCAGAUGGGAUUAGCUAGUAGGUGGGGUAACGGCUCACCUAGGCGACGAUCCCUAGCUGGUCUGAGAGGAUUACCAGCAAAAAGGGAACUGAGACACGGUCCAGACUCCGACGGGAGGGAGCAGAGGGGAAGAUUGCAAAAUGGGCGAAAGCCUGAUGCAGCCAUGCCGCGUGUAUGAAGAAGGCCUUCGGGUUGUAAAGUACUUGCAGCGAGGAGGCGUUACUCGCAGAAGAAGCACCGGCUAACUCCGUGCCAGCAGCCGCGGUAAUUC